UAAACUGUCACACUUAUUUCUUGAUAUUCGUUCAAGAAAAUCAGUUUUGUGUAUCUAAAAGGAGUGCAGUUUUAUUAUUAGUGAUGGAGAGUAACUGCAUAUCAGAAGAUGUUGUUAAAUUGGCGACUGCAGCGACUAUGAAUCUUCUUCCUGUGAAAUCCAGGAAUAUAAUAUAAUUCUUUUAUGGAGUGACGUACUAAAUUUAGCAUAAACAGUUUCACAGAAAGAGUGUCACUAGCUUAUUUUGAAACUAAAUCUAAAAUGUGGAAGUCUUCAACACUUUGGUGGACUUAUUCAAAACUGAAAGGCACCCUAAUGGUAAAUUACAACGUGGGCAUCAGUAAAUACUCAAAACUCAUUGCAUAUUUGAAAAAUCAAUCAGUUGGCUAUAGACCAAAAAAUUUAAAACAUUUGCCCGUGAAGAAAUCAAUAAGUUUCUGUUGCAAACUCCAGACGAACAUUAUCUUAUGCAUAAGGUAGAAGCCGUUAACGUUUAUUGUUUUGUACUUGUAACGUGAGCUAAGUACGAAGUUACUACGACAUUAACAAAAGAGCACGAGUAGGUAGGGAGGACCCGAUAUUUUUCAGCCCAAAGUUUGUAACAGUGAAGAAAUGUGUAACUCAAUGCCCGGGUUUCACGAGUAUACAGGUUGUGACUAUGUCUGUAGUUUCUUUAAGAAGGGUAAAGCCAAACCUUUCAAAAUUUUAAUGAAUAAUGUCAAA